GCUGCUAUGGCUCAGUCGGUAGAGCGCGUCCUUGGUAAGGACGAGGUCACCGGUUCAAAUCCGGUUAGCAGCUCCA
rnacentral:tRNA from 1 species